AUUGAACGCUGGCGGCAGGCCUAACACAUGCAAGUCGAACGAGCGGCGGACGGGUGAGUAAUGUCUGGGAACCUGCCUGAUCGAGGGGGAUAACUACUGGAAACGGUAGCUAAUACCGCAUACUAUCAGAUGUGCCCAGAUGGGAUUAGCUAGUUGGUGGGGUAAAGGCUCACCAAGGCGACGAUCCCUAGCUGGGCGGAGAGGAUGACCAGCCACACUGGAACUGAGACACGGUCCAGACUCCUACGGGAGGAAGCAGUGGGGAAUAUUGCACAAUGGGCGCAAGCGUGAUGCAGCCAUGCCGCGUGUAUGAAGAAGGCCUUAGGGUUGUAAAGUACUUUCAGCGGGGAGGCGUUACCCGCAGAAGAAGCACCGGCUAACUCCGUGCCAGCAGCCGCGGUAAUUC
rnacentral:rRNA from 1 species